CUGCGUGCCAAUGAAUGGCUGGAAAGACAGGCUGGUGGCCCGUGGAGUAGAACGUCUGUGUGGCCAUGAGGGCCCAGGCAGAAACUGCCUGCCAUGGCACACAACACCUCCCUGAAAACAAGAGGGGCCGAAGUCACAUCACUACUGUCCUUGGAUGAACCAGGGCUGAGAAAUGUAUUUACCAGGGGUGGUGAUGGAUAUCCCAGCAGCAAGCAGAUGCAGGAGAAGGAAGCUCUGCAGAAACAGAAGCAGGAACACAAGGCUAAUGCGUUCUGCAUGCAAAAGCAGAAGUGGGAAGGCCAAAA